rnacentral:rRNA from 1 species
CCUACGGUGGGCAGCAGUGAGGAAUAUUGGUCAAUGGCCGUAAGGCUGAACCAGCCAAGUCGCGUGAAGGAAGAAGGAUCUAUGGUUUGUAAACUUCUUUUAUAGGGGAAUAAAGGUAUCCAAGUGUGGAUAUUUGCAUGUACCCUAUGAAUAAGCAUCGGCUAACUCCGUUCCAGCCGCCGCGGUAAUACGGAGGAUGCGAGCCUUAUCCGGAUUUAUUGGGUUUAAAGGGUGCGUAGGUUGUUUUUUAAGUCAGGGGUGAACGGUUGUGGCUCAACCCUAAAAUUGCCGUUGAAACUGGAAGACUUGAGUGUGUUUGAGGUAGGCGGAAUGCGUGGUGUAGCGGUGAAAUGCAUAGAUAUCACGCAGAACUCCGAUUGCGAAGGCAGCUUACUAAGCCAUAACUGACACUGAAGCACGAAAGCGUGGGGAUCAAACAGGAUUAGAUACCCCUGUAGUC